GACAGAGGAAGGCAGCUUAGAAUCGCGACAUCCUGUCGCAAAAGCUGCAUGACCCACGUCCUGUGGG
rnacentral:sRNA from 1 species